AUUGAACGCUGGCGGCAGGCUUAACACAUGCAAGUCGAACGAGUGGCGGACGGGUGAGUAAUGCCUGGGAAACUGGCUGAUGGAGGGGGAUAACUACGGGAAACGGUAGCUAAUACCGCAUACCAUCAGAUGUGCCCAGGUGGGAUUAGCUAGUUGGUGGGGUAACGGCUCACCAAGGCGACGAUCCCUAGCUGGUCUGAGAGGAUGACCAGUCACACUGGGACUGAGACACGGUCCAGACUCCUACGGGAGGCAGCAGUGGGGAAUAUUGGGCAAUGGGGGCAAGCCUGAUCCAGCCAUGCCGCGUGUAUGAAGAAGGUCUUCGGGUUGUAAAGUUCUUUCAGUUGCGAGGCGUUACCAACAGAAUAAGCACCGGCUAACUUCGUGCCAGCAGCCGCGGUAAUAC
rnacentral:rRNA from 1 species